rnacentral:rRNA from 1 species
UGGUGAGUAACGCGUGAGGAACCUGCCUUUCAGAGGGGGACAACAGUUGGAAACGACUGCUAAUACCGCAUGACGCAUGACUGGGGCAUCCCGGACAUGCCAAAGAUUUAUCGCUGAAAGAUGGCCUCGCGUCCGAUUAGAUAGUUGGCGGGGUAACGGCCCACCAAGUCGACGAUCGGUAGCCGGACUGAGAGGUUGGCCGGCCACAUUGGGACUGAGAUACGGCCCAGACUCCUACGGGAGGCAGCAGUGGGGAAUAUUGGGCAAUGGACGCAAGUCUGACCCAGCAACGCCGCGUGAAGGAAGAAGGCUUUCGGGUUGUAAACUUCUUUUGACAGGGAAGAGCGGAAGACGGUACCUGAAAACAAGCCACGGCUAACUACGUGCCAGCAGCCGCGGUAAUACGUAGGUGGCAAGCGUUGUCCGGAUUUACUGGGUGUAAAGGGCGUGCAGCCGGGCCGACAAGUCAGAUGUGAAAUCCCGAGGCUUAACCUCGGAACUGCAUUUGAAACUGUUGGUCUUGAGUAUCGGAGAGGUCAUCGGAAUUCCUUGUGUAGCGGUGAAAUGCGUAGAUAUAAGGAAGAACACCAGUGGCGAAGGCGGAUGACCGGACGACAACUGACGGUGAGGCGCGAAAGCGUGGGGAGCGAACAGGAUUAGAUACCCUGGUAGUCCACGCUGUAAACGAUGGAUACUAGGUGUGCGGGGACU